UGGGGAAUAUUGGACAAUGGGCGCAAGCCUGAUCCAGCCAUGCCGCGUGAGUGAUGAAGGCCUUAGGGUUGUAAAGCUCUUUCACCGGUGAAGAUAAUGACGGUAACCGGAGAAGAAGCCCCGGCUAACUUCGUGCCAGCAGCCGCGGUAAUACGAAGGGGGCUAGCGUUGUUCGGAUUUACUGGGCGUAAAGCGCACGUAGGCGGAUCGAUCAGUCAGGGGUGAAAUCCCAGGGCUCAACCCUGGAACUGCCUUUGAUACUGUCGAUCUGGAGUAUGGAAGAGGUGAGUGGAAUUCCGAGUGUAGAGGUGAAAUUCGUAGAUAUUCGGAGGAACGCCAGUGGCGAAGGCGGCUCACUGGUCCAUUACUGACGCUGAGGUGCGAAAGCGUGGGGAGCAAACAGGAUUAGAUACCC
rnacentral:rRNA from 1 species